rnacentral:lncRNA from 1 species
CCAGCCCCAGGCUCUUUCAGGACCCCAAGACCCUUCACACUUGCCUGUGGUCCUGAGAAGAGCCUGAUGGAUCCACAAAGCCAGAGUAAUUCUGAGGUGGGUAUCCCAGGGUGGUUGGGGUGGGCUGUCUGGACAGUAUCCAUGGAUGGACAGAACUGACUUGUCCCCAGAGUAGCCACAGCCCCUGGCAGCCCUGAGUGGGGGCGUCUGAGCGGCUCAGCCUGUCUGCGGGCCCCCCCACUUAGCAGGCCUGGCCGGAGGGCAGCCCCCAAGAGCACAGGGGCGCUCUGUUCCUUAAUGAAUGCAAGUCUGUUUUUAGACCUGAAUGACCAGCUUUUUGUCUGGAAAUGGCCAAGCCCCAAGUGGCCUGCCAAGAAAAAGUGGUCUAUGAGCAGACCCGGGGGUGCCAGCUCAAAUAGAUGCCGCUCCAGCAGCGGGCAUGAUGGGACGAAGCCAGCAGCCGCUGUUUGUCCCUGUCUGUCUCCG